rnacentral:rRNA from 1 species
UUAAGCGACUAAGCGUACACGGUGGAUGCCCUGGCAGUCAGAGGCGAUGAAGGACGUGCUAAUCUGCGAAAAGCGUCGGUAAGGUGAUAUGAACCGUUAUAACCGGCGAUGUCCGAAUGGGGAAACCCAGUGUGAUUCGUCACACUAUCGUUAACUGAAUACAUAGGUUAACGAGGCGAACCGGGGGAACUGAAACAUCUAAGUACCCCGAGGAAAAGAAAUCAACCGAGAUUCCCCCAGUAGCGGCGAGCGAACGGGGAGCAGCCCAGAGUCUGAAUCAGCUUGUGUGUUAGUGGAACGGUCUGGAAAGUCCGACGGUACAGGGUGAUAGUCCCGUACACCAAAAUGCAUAGGUUGUGAACUCGAAGAGUAGGGCGGGACACGUGGUAUCCUGUCUGAAUAUGGGGGGACCAUCCUCCAAGGCUAAAUACUCCUGACUGACCGAUAGUGAACCAGUACCGUGAGGGAAAGGCGAAAAGAACCCCGGCGAGGGGAGUGAAAAAGAACCUGAAACCGUGUACGUACAAGCAGUGGGAGCACCUUCGGGUGUGACUGCGUACCUUUUGUAUAAUGGGUCAGCGACUUAUAUUCUGUAGCAAGGUUAACCGUAUAGGGGAGCCGCAGGGAAACCGAGUCUUAACUGGGCGUUAAGUUGCAGGGUAUAGACCCGAAACCCGGUGAUCUAGCCAUGGGCAGGUUGAAGGUUGGGUAACACUAACUGGAGGACCGAACCGACUAAUGUUGAAAAAUUAGCGGAUGACUUGUGGCUGGGGGUGAAAGGCCAAUCAAACCGGGAGAUAGCUGGUUCUCCCCGAAAGCUAUUUAGGUAGCGCCUCGUGAAUUCAUCUUCGGGGGUAGAGCACUGUUUCGGCUAGGGGGUCAUCCCGACUUACCAACCCGAUGCAAACUACGAAUACCGAAGAAUGUUAUCACGGGAGACACACGGCGGGUGCUAACGUCCGUCGUGAAGAGGGAAACAACCCAGACCGCCAGCUAAGGUCCCAAAGUCAUGGUUAAGUGGGAAACGAUGUGGGAAGGCACAGACAGCCAGGAUGUUGGCUUAGAAGCAGCCAUCAUUUAAAGAAAGCGUAAUAGCUCACUGGUCGAGUCGGCCUGCGCGGAAGAUGUAACGGGGCUAAACCAUGCACCGAAGCUGCGGCAGCGACACUAUGUGUUGUUGGGUAGGGGAGCGUUCUGUAAGCCUGCGAAGGUGUGCUGUGAGGCAUGCUGGAGGUAUCAGAAGUGCGAAUGCUGACAUAAGUAACGAUAAAGCGGGUGAAAAGCCCGCUCGCCGGAAGACCAAGGGUUCCUGUCCAACGUUAAUCGGGGCAGGGUGAGUCGACCCCUAAGGCGAGGCCGAAAGGCGUAGUCGAUGGGAAACAGGUUAAUAUUCCUGUACUUGGUGUUACUGCGAAGGGGGGACGGAGAAGGCUAUGUUAGCCGGGCGACGGUUGUCCCGGUUUAAGCAUGUAGGCUGGUUGUCCAGGCAAAUCCGGAUAAUCAAGGCUGAGGUGUGAUGACGAGGCACUACGGUGCUGAAGUAACAAAUGCCCUGCUUCCAGGAAAAGCCUCUAAGCAUCAGGUAACAUCAAAUCGUACCCCAAACCGACACAGGUGGUCAGGUAGAGAAUACCAAGGCGCUUGAGAGAACUCGGGUGAAGGAACUAGGCAAAAUGGUGCCGUAACUUCGGGAGAAGGCACGCUGGUGUGUAGGUGAAGUCCCUGCGGAUGGAGCUGAGACCAGUCGAAGAUACCAGCUGGCUGCAACUGUUUAUUAAAAACACAGCACUGUGCAAACACGAAAGUGGACGUAUACGGUGUGACGCCUGCCCGGUGCCGGAAGGUUAAUUGAUGGGGUUAUCCGUAAGGAGAAGCUCUUGAUCGAAGCCCCGGUAAACGGCGGCCGUAACUAUAACGGUCCUAAGGUAGCGAAAUUCCUUGUCGGGUAAGUUCCGACCUGCACGAAUGGCGUAAUGAUGGCCAGGCUGUCUCCACCCGAGACUCAGUGAAAUUGAACUCGCUGUGAAGAUGCAGUGUACCCGCGGCAAGACGGAAAGACCCCGUGAACCUUUACUAUAGCUUGACACUGAACAUUGAGCCUUGAUGUGUAGGAUAGGUGGGAGGCUUUGAAGCGUGGACGCCAGUCUGCGUGGAGCCAACCUUGAAAUACCACCCUUUAAUGUUUGAUGUUCUAACGUUGGCCCCUUAUCGGGGUUGCGGACAGUGUCUGGUGGGUAGUUUGACUGGGGCGGUCUCCUCCCAAAGCGUAACGGAGGAGCACGAAGGUUAGCUAAUCCUGGUCGGACAUCAGGAGGUUAGUGCAAUGGCAUAAGCUAGCUUGACUGCGAGCGUGACGGCGCGAGCAGGUGCGAAAGCAGGUCAUAGUGAUCCGGUGGUUCUGAAUGGAAGGGCCAUCGCUCAACGGAUAAAAGGUACUCCGGGGAUAACAGGCUGAUACCGCCCAAGAGUUCAUAUCGACGGCGGUGUUUGGCACCUCGAUGUCGGCUCAUCACAUCCUGGGGCUGAAGUAGGUCCCAAGGGUAUGGCUGUUCGCCAUUUAAAGUGGUACGCGAGCUGGGUUUAGAACGUCGUGAGACAGUUCGGUCCCUAUCUGCCGUGGGCGCUGGAGAAUUGAGGGGGGCUGCUCCUAGUACGAGAGGACCGGAGUGGACGCAUCACUGGUGUUCGGGUUGUCAUGCCAAUGGCACUGCCCGGUAGCUAAAUGCGGAAGAGAUAAGUGCUGAAAGCAUCUAAGCACGAAACUUGCCCCGAGAUGAGUUCUCCCUGAGACUUUAAGUCUCCUGAAGGAACGUUGAAGACGACGACGUUGAUAGGCCGGGUGUGUAAGCGCAGCGAUGCGUUGAGCUAACCGGUACUAAUGAACCGUGAGGCUUAACCUU